rnacentral:tRNA from 1 species
GGAGGUAUAGCUCAGGGGAAGAGCAUUUGACUGAAAAUUGAAGGGACUGUUACCUAUUCUUUCCAUCAAGGGAACUGAUUGCUUCCA